rnacentral:rRNA from 1 species
CCUACGGGAGGCAGCAGUGAGGAAUAUUGGUCAAUGGCCGGAAGGCUGAACCAGCCAAGCCGCGUGAAGGACGAAGGUGCCAAGCAUUGUAAACUUCUUUUGUCAAGAGACAAAAUCAGGCUCGAGAGCCUGACCGAGUGUACUUGAAGAAAAAGCAUCGGCUAACUCCGUGCCAGCAGCCGCGGUAAUACGGAGGAUGCGAGCGUUAUCCGGAUUUAUUGGGUUUAAAGGGUGCGUAGGCGGUAUGUCAAGUCAAGUGUGAAAUCCCCGCGCUCAACGUGGGAAUUGCCUUUGAAACUGGCAAACUGGAGGGUGUGGGAGGAUAGGGGAAUGCCGGGUGUAGGAGUGAAAUGCGUAGAUAUCUGGAGGAACAUCAGUGGCGAAGGCGACUAUCUGGCACAUAACUGACGCUGAGGAGCGAAAGCGUGGGUAGCAAACAGGAUUAGAUACCCGGGUAGUC